CAGUAGCCGCGGUAAUACAGAGGGUGCGAGCGUUAAUCGGAUUUACUGGGCGUAAAGGGCGCGUAGGCGGUUUGACAAGUCUGAUGUGAAAUCUCUGGGCUCAACCCAGAGUCUGCAUCGGAAACUGUCGAGCUUGAGUAUGGGAGAGGUGAGUGGAAUUUCCGGUGUAGCGGUGAAAUGCGUAGAUAUCGGAAGGAACACCUGUGGCGAAAGCGGCUCACUGGACCAUUACUGACGCUGAGGCGCGAAAGCUAGGGGAGCAAACAGGAUUAGAUACCCGGGUAGUCCCUGUCUCUUAUAC
rnacentral:rRNA from 1 species